rnacentral:tRNA from 1 species
GCCCGGGGGGCUCAGUCGGUGGAGCAUCUGACUUGGGCUCAGGUCAUGAUCUCGCGGUUCGUGGGUUCGAGCCCCGCGUCGGGCU